AAGGGGGGCAAGUAUAAUAUUAGCUGCUAACUAAAUAUUAAAGCGGUUAAACUCCGUUUUCCCUUUA
rnacentral:tRNA from 1 species